rnacentral:tRNA from 2 species
GCCGGGGUAGGGUAGGCGGUCAUCCUACGGGACUGUGGAUCCUGCGACUCGGGUUCAAAUCUCGGCCCCGGCCCCA